rnacentral:rRNA from 1 species
UCGAUGUUCGGGGCCGCACGCGCGCCACACUGAAGGAAUCAGCGUGUGCUUUCCCUGUCCGGUAGGACUGGGUAACCCGCUGAACCUCCUUCGUGAUAGGGAUAGGGGCUUGUAAUUGUUCCCCUUGAACGAGGAAUCCCCAGUAAGCACGAGUCAUAAGCUCGUGUUGAUUACGUCCCUGCCCUUUGUCCACACCGCCCGUCGCUACUACCGAUUGAAUGAUUUAGUGAGGUCUUCGGACUGGCGCUCGUACUCGGCCUUUGGCCGGGCCGUAGUGCCGGAAAGAUGACCGAACUUGAUCAUUUAGAGGAAGUAAAAGUCGUAACAAGGUAUCC